rnacentral:rRNA from 1 species
UACAGAGGGGGCGAGCGUUAUUCGGAAUUAUUGGGCGUAAAGCGUGCGCAGGCGGUGAUGUAAGCCAGAUGUGAAAGCCCCGGGCUCAACCUGGGAAUGGCAUUUGGGACUGCAAGGCUUGAGUGCGGCAGAGGAGACUGGAAUUCCUGGUGUAGCAGUGAAAUGCGUAGAUAUCAGGAGGAAUACCGAUGGCGAAGGCAGGUCUCUGGGCUGACACUGACGCUCAUGCACGAAAGCGUGGGGAGCAAACAGG